CAGAGUUCAAAAACCUGAACCGAUUUCUGUGUUUUUCGUUGUCAGCUUGUUAAGGAGUUGAUAUGUCUGAGAGUCAGGCAGCAGAACCUUAACAGUGUCAGGAUAAUUCACUAAAUUCAAACAUUUGGCUCAUUAAAUUAGAGUAAUUAAAACUUGAGCUAAAAUAGGCUCCAGUUGAAUUGGAGAUCUUUGUCCAAAUCAGCCAUUUUAGCACAUAUUUCUCCAUUCAGAUCUAAGUUGCUAAAAUUUGUAGUUUUGCAAAUUACCCUUUGUUCAUAUCUAACAAAAUUGGAAAGUAUGCGAUCAGGAC